AGUGAACGCUGGCGGUAGGCCUAACACAUGCAAGUCGAACGGCAGCACAGUAAGAGCUUGCUCUUACGGGUGGCGAGUGGCGGACGGGAGAGGAAUACAUCGGAAUCUACUUUUUCGUGGGGGAUAACGUAGGGAAACUUACGCUAAUACCGCAUCCGACCUACGGGUGAAAGCAGGGGAUCUUCGGACCUUGCGCGAUUGAAUGAGCCGAUGUCGGAUUAGCUAGUGGGCGGGGUAAAGGCCCACCAAGGCGACGAUCCGUAGCUGGUCUGAGAGGAUGAUCAGCCACACUGGAACUGAGACACGGUCCAGACUCCUACGGGAGGCAGCAGUGGGGAAUAUUGGACAAUGGGCGCAAGCCUGAUCCAGCCAUACCGCGUGGGUGAAGAAGGCCUUCGGGUUGUAAAGCCCUUUUGUUGGGAAAGAAAAGCAGCAGGUUAAUACCCCGCUGUUCUGACGGUACCCAAAGAAUAAGCACCGGCUAACUUCGUG
rnacentral:rRNA from 1 species